rnacentral:rRNA from 1 species
UGGGGAAUAUUGGACAAUGGUCGAAAGCCUGAUCCAGCCAUGCCGCGUGAGUGAAGAAGGUCUUCGGAUUGUAAAGCACUUUAAGUUGGGAGGAAGGGCAGUAAGCGAAUACCUUGCUGUUUUGACGUUACCGACAGAAUAAGCACCGGCUAACUCUGUGCCAGCAGCCGCGGUAAUACAGAGGGUGCAAGCGAUAAUCGGAAUUACUGGGCGUAAAGCGCGCGAAGGUGGUUCGUUAAGUUGAAUGUGAAAGCCCCGGGCUCAACCUGGGAACUGCAUCCAAAACGGGCGCGCUAUAGUAGGGCAGAGGGUGGUGGAAUUUCCUGUGUAGCGGUGAAAUGCGUAGAUAUAGGAAGGAACACCAGUGGCGAAGGCGACCACCUGGGCUCAUACUGACACUGAGGUGCGAAAGCGUGGGGAGCAAACAGG